CAGAUUACACAGUAACUGAAGUGUCUGAAAUUUAUUUCAAUUAAGAUGCUACAAAACAAGGUGGAGAAGUCUUAAAUUGUUAGAAACAGCAUUUAAUGAAACUUUGUUUUUUAGUAGUUUGCUCAAGGAUUCAGAGUAUUUUAUCCUACAUCUGUUUUCUUAAUGGUCAUUGUUUUAAGAACAACUCAAGCACCUAGAAAGUGUUCAUCCCUGCUAUCCAUUCUGCCAGGCUGCUGCAUCAAUUUUGUAUAAGAGGUACAUCAUCAAGUUUGCCUUCCAUACAGAAAGAGGACCUUCUGACAUUCAGGUGGAAUAGAUUAAAAAAAAAAUAAAUGUCACAGUAACUACAAAUUUAAACUACCAAGCUACCAGAUAUGAUAAAAUAUUUUGGCAGUGGCCCUUGGUGGUUUCUACAGGGAUAGCUGCUGUUCAUGCAGCACUUUUUGGAUGCAGAAGCUGAAUGACCUGCACAGCUCAGUGUGUGGACUUUCAGGAGCUUCUCUACAAUACGGAAGCAGGAAAGCCUUCAAGAGAAAGAAAUUGUGUGAAUGCAUCUGUGAAGCAAAUUUCUUGUAUUGUGUACAACACUGAGGUGCAAGUCUUCUCUUAAAUUACAAGCUGUUUCUCCAUGCAUUGGCUGCUUCAUAAACAUGCUUAAUGCUACACUGUUCCCAAGGGGUACCUGACUGACCACUCUCUGGUCCUUAGCUGUGCAAUAUGUGCUCAAUUCCAGCAAUCUAUGAAGAUGAGACCUGAGUGGCAUGAUCCACUGGAGUGUCUUGAUUUGUUUUGCGAGAAAUUCAGAUGUAUGAACUGGGAGAAGAUGAUGGACUUUUCUAAUAACUCUGUUGUUCUGAUCAGGGCUCUGGAGACGUUACAUCUCUGAUGUCCGUGUUGUUUGGAGAACUUCAUAACUGAAGGGACUCAAUCAGGUACAGGUAUCAGCACAGUUGUGGAUGUACUGAAAUCACAUCAGGGCUUAUAUUCCACCUUGUGUACUCUGAGCUCCUGCAAUUUAAAUGAUACCUAGCUGGUUGAAGCUGGCUCAGACGGACCUGACCCUACUGGCUGCAGUCAUGGCAUCACACACCUUAUCAGAGUGCCUAGGCUUGAAGACCUAGAAUAACGGCUUGACACUAUCAAAGUCAAUGAGAUAUUGCCAUUAGUUCUAUAUGUCUUCAUAGCCAGAAAUCUUUCUAAUUUCACCCCUAUUAAUGCUAAUGUCAAUGCAAAAAACUUGGAGAAACUGCCUGUUUGCAUCACUACAUUAAAUCUUUUGCAGUAUUUGUUUCUUCAGUACUGACUUUACUGGUGUUCUUUAAGUUAUGCCCACUGUUCAAAGUGUCAUACUGGAAUACAGUUGGAGAUUCUAAUAAAGUAACUCAGAAGUAUUUA